AUGGCAGACAUAUUGUCCUCCAUCUCUUUGGACUAUAAUGACAUGGUUAGAACUUUUCCAGUCAGAAAGUAAGCUUAGAAGAUGAAUGUUACUCAAUAUUCGAUCUCUCAUUGAGGGGUUGAGGUAUGUUGUAUAGGAUCAGAUCUCUCAUUGAGGGGUUGAGGUAUGUUGUAUAGGAUCAGACCCAUCACCAGAAUGAUACUGCCCACGUGAAAAAAGGGGCUCAAGCUCACACCUUCCGGAAGAUAUGGCAGCGCAAGGGAAAGUAUGCAUAUUGAAAUUGGAACUGCCAAAAAAGAGAAAAACCAAGUGAAAAAAAAAAUGAACCAAAAUGAAAAGCUGAUCAUUUAAGAGGAUCAACCAGUCUAAAGGUUUUCAUUAAGAGAGAACCUG
rnacentral:lncRNA from 1 species